GCCGAGGUGGUGGAACUGGUAGACACGCAGCCUUGAGGGGGCUGUGUCCGAAUAGGACGUGCAGGUUCAAGUCCUGUCCUCGGCA
rnacentral:tRNA from 1 species